UUAGUGGAAGCGUCUGGAAAGGCGCGCGAUACAGGGUGACAGCCCCGUACACAAAAGCGCAUGUGCUGUGAGCUCGAUGAGUAGGGCGGGACACGUGGUAUCCUGUCUGAAUAUGGGGGGACCAUCCUCCAAGGCUAAAUACUCCUGACUGACCGAUAGUGAACCAGUACCGUGAGGGAAAGGCGAAAAGAACCCCGGCGAGGGGAGUGAAAAAGAACCUGAAACCGUGUACGUACAAGCAGUGGGAGCCCCACCACUAAGCCAGUGGUGAACUCCACAUACGCAUCCUUUGCUGAGGAUACGGUUAACGGAGCGCAAGCGACGUUCAACCGCAAAAGAAGCAGAGGGGGCUUAGUGGUGGGGUGACUGCGUACCUUUUGUAUAAUGGGUCAGCGACUUAUAUUCUGUAGCAAGGUUAACCGUAUAGGGGAGCCGUAGGGAAACCGAGUCUUAACCGGGCGUUAAGUUGCAGGGUAUAGACCCGAAACCCGGUGAUCUAGCCAUGGGCAGGUUGAAGGUUGGGUAACACUAACUGGAGGACCGAACCGACUAAUGUUGAAAAAUUAGCGGAUGACCUGUGGCUGGGGGUGAAAGGCCAAUCAAACCGGGAG
rnacentral:rRNA from 1 species